rnacentral:rRNA from 1 species
GAUGAACGCUGACAGAAUGCUUAACACAUGCAAGUCCACUUGAACUUCGGUUUGGGUGGCGGACGGGUGAGUAACGCGUAAAGAACUUGCCUCACAGUUAGGGACAACAUUUGGAAACGAAUGCUAAUACCUGAUAUUAUGAUUUUAGGGCAUCCUAGAAUUAUGAAAGCUAUAUGCGCUGUGAGAGAGCUUUGCGUCCCAUUAGCUAGUUGGAGAGGUAACGGCUCACCAAGGCGGUGAUGGGUAGCCGGCCUGAGAGGGUGAACGGCCACAAGGGGACGGAGACACGGCCCUUACUCCUCCGGGAGGCAGCAGUGGGGAAUAUUGGACAAUGGACCAAGAGUCUGAUCCAGCAAUUCUGUGUGCACGAUGAAGUUUUUCGGAAUGUAACGUGCUUUCAGUUGGGAAGAAAAAAAUGACGAUACCAACAGAAGAAGUGACGGCUAAAUACGUG